rnacentral:tRNA from 1 species
CAAGAUAUAGCUUAAUAAAACAAAGCACCCGGCCUACACCCGGAAGAUUUCUCCAUUAAUGAAUAUCUUGA